GGCGGACGUGGCCAAGUGGAUUAAGGCUAAGUGGAUUGUGAAUCC
rnacentral:tRNA from 1 species